rnacentral:rRNA from 1 species
AGUGAACGCUGGCGGUAGGCCUAACACAUGCAAGUCGAACGGCAGCACAGUAAGAGCUUGCUCUUACGGGUGGCGAGUGGCGGACGGGUGAGGAAUACAUCGGAAUCUACUUUUUCGUGGGGGAUAACGUAGGGAAACUUACGCUAAUACCGCAUACGACCUACGGGUGAAAGCAGGGGAUCUUCGGACCUUGCGCGAUUGAAUGAGCCGAUGUCGGAUUAGCUAGUUGGCGGGGUAAAGGCCCACCAAGGCGACGAUCCGUAGCUGGUCUGAGAGGAUGUACAGCCACACUGGAACUGAGAAACGGUACAGACUCCGACGGGAGGAAGCAGUGGGGAAUAUUGGACAAUGGGCGAAAGCCUGAUACAGCCAUACCGCGUGGGUGAAGAAGGACUUCGGGUUGUAAAGCCCUUUUGUUGGGAAAGAAAAGAAGCAGGUUAAUACCCCGCUGUUCUGACGGUACCCAAAGAAUAAGCACCGGCUAACUUCGUG